CCUUGAGAGUCCUGAAGGAACGUUGAAGACGACGACGUUGAUAGGCCGGGUGUGUAAGCGCAGCGAUGCGUUGAGCUAACCGGUACUAAUGAACCGUGAGGCUUAACCUUCCAACGCCGAAGCUGUU
rnacentral:rRNA from 1 species